rnacentral:rRNA from 1 species
AUUGAACGCUGGCGGCAGGCCUAACACAUGCACGUCGAGCGAGCGGCGGACGGGUGAGUAAUGUCUGGGGACUGCCCGAUAGAGGGGGAUAACUACUGGAAACGGUGGCUAAUAACGCAUACUAUCGGAUAACCAAUAUCGGAUUAGCUAGGAGUUGGGGUAAAGGCUAACCUCGGCGACGAUCUCUAGCUGGUCUGAGAGGCGGAUCAGCCACACGGGGACUGAGAAACGGCCCAGAUGCCUACGGAGGCAGCAGUGGGAAUUAUUGCACAAUGGGCGCAAGCCUGAUGCAGCCAUGCCGCGUGUAUGAAGAAGGCCUUAGGGUUGUAAAGUACUUUCAGCGGGGAGGCGUUACCCGCAGAAGAAGCACCGGCUAACUCCGUGCCAGCAGCCGCGGUAAUAC